rnacentral:lncRNA from 1 species
CCGUCCAAGUAGGGGAAAGUAGUCCAAUUCGGCUAAGGCAUCAGGAAAACCCAAAUUAGCUUGGGAAAAUUAAUUUUGAGGUCCCUACACUUGUGAAAAAAACAAAAAAUCAGCCCCCAACAAAUACCUAAGAAACCUUCUAACCCCUUGCAUGAUUCAUGCAUGAAAUCAAGCAUGAAUCAAGAAACAAUCAACCUCUUCCU